rnacentral:rRNA from 1 species
UACGUAGGGUGCGAGCGUUGUCCGGAUUUAUUGGGCGUAAAGAGCUCGUAGGCGGUUUGUCGCGUCGGCCGUGAAAUCUCCACGCUUAACGUGGAGCGUGCGGUCGAUACGGGCAGACUUGAGUUCGGUAGGGGAGACUGGAAUUCCUGGUGUAGCGGUGGAAAUGCGCAGAUAUCAGGAGGAACACCGGUGGCGAAGGCGGGUCUCUGGGCCGAUACUGACGCUGGAGGAGCGGAAAGCGUGGGGAGCGAACAGG